UGAACCACCACUUCCACCUCUUCUUACAACAAGUGGAAAAUACUGUUAACUCUAAUAUUACUACAUAUCUCUCGGUUAAACAUGUUGAUGCUUUUGAAGAUUCCCUAACACUUUAAUAUUUUGGAUAAGAGGAUGUAUUGAUAAUAUUCAUUUUUCUGUUUCUAUUAAUGAUGCUUUUUGAAAGUUUUUUAGUUUUACUUUUGGCUUAAAAUUGGGUUGCCUGAUGUCAAUUUAUUUAUUUUGUGUUGUGAUGGACGCCCUCUCUAAUAUGUUGGAUGAUUCUACCUUUAUUUUUUUCUUUUGAAGAUUCCAAAUAUCAUAAAAAAUUUGUGACGCGGCGGAGGCGACGACGCAUCGACGAACAAGGAAACGCGGGUUGCAGGAAUUGGCAGCCCAUGCAUAACCCAAGAACUCAUUGGGAGGGGAUCACCACCUGAAAUCCUUCAGGAUACAGAAAUCCAAAACAACUGAGUAAAAGAACUCAAAUAUUAUUCAUCUUCCAAUCUCUCAUUACAAGUAUUGGUUACAAGUAUUUAUAGACAUGUAGCAAUAAAAGGCUACAUGCCAUCAUAAGGAAUAUUAUAUUUAUAUAGCCAUACAAACUGUCUAAUGAAAUCAAACUAUCUUGAAGUUAAUAGAAUUAAAUAGCUCAGCUCUGACGUUAUACUACUUGGGUAGGAGGAAUUUUAUACUCAUAAGAAGUUGUUCGGUUGCCUACCAUAAUAAGGUGGGUUUGGUUGGUUAUAACGAUAUCGAUAUUUUCACCUGGUGUCAAUCUUGCAUUUAGAACAAACAAAAAUACGGUUCACUAUUGUCUCCAUUUGCCAACAUACAUCACAUAAUAAUAUAUUUUCCUCCGCUUCAUUAACUUCACCCAAAUAUUGAUUGACAAAUACCAUAUCCCAUCGUUUUUUCCUGAAUGCAUCAAACUCUGGAGAAAGAUGGUUGAUCAUCCUAUUAACCAACUCUUCACAUGAAUGCUUGAUUGAAACAACCCUGAAAUUUGUGAUGACAUCAAAUGUAUUUUGAAGAGCAUUUCCCUUAUUAGUGAUGGCAAGCACAUUAAUUGCCUUAACAGGAACAAUAUGCAUGCAUAACUCCGGCGGUGCAUCCAUCUUGCUCUAGUUAUGGUCAUACAUCGGCUUAUCAAAAUCAAGAACUUCAAAGAACAUGUCGUCAUCGUACACGCCAUAGACGGGCUCUCAUCGUAGAGAGGUAAAGACGACGAUGUCCGUAACGGAUCUUCAAAUUCUUUGAAGCUGAAGUCGAUCAAGGUUGGGGUGGAGGUGAUUUGAUCAUCUGAAAUGCCCUCGUCGUCGUCGUCGGAUCGUAAGGAUUUAGUUGGAACGAAGUAUCUUGAUUCCGUAAUGGGAGCAAACUUGCCCCGUAGUUGGACGCCAUUAAAGUCCUAGGCAAGGGGGCUAAAGUCUUUCCUUCAUUCAAUCCUCAAAAAUUGUAGUUUUUGUCGGACAAUUUCUUGUAGGAGAUCUUCGAUUUCUGCUUUAUCGUUACCAAAUCUGUUGAGGCCACAUCUUGCUCUAUAUAGCCGCUGAUUUCUAAGCUAAGAACCAUAAAUUAUAUUAUUAAUGGCUGGAAUAUGUUGGUAGUAGCUAUCCUGAUAGCUGGAAGAAGAAUAAUAGCUCCCAAACUUUCUUGGAAUGAUUCUGGUCUUCCCACAAAGAUUGUCCACUUAUUUGGACGUACCACCCGAUAUUUUUUUUUAUAACAAAGAAAGCAAUCGUCCUACUACCUGGAACGGACCACUUGCCCCGUUUCUCGGAUGAGGCACACGCAUGGACGAAAGUCAUGCCCAGCUUUCUACCGGGACAGACAGCAUGGCUGCCGGCAACGGAAGAACCUAUUUGUUAUUGCCAAUGACGGAAAACCUGGUCGGCACUGACACCUUGCUACUAUUGCUGCAGAAGCGCCUUAAAAAUGAUGGGAGAUCAUCUGCUUGGCAGUAAGACAGCAAAAGAUUAUUGGGAUUAUUGAACUAGACGGUGGACUGCAGCUAAAUAGCCCACGGAAGUUGUAAAGGAGGUAGGCUGCUGUUCUUGAUGGCUGACAUCAGCCUUUGAUGUUUUGGAUGAAAAAACUGCAACCGCCCGUUUCUUGGCGGCCUUGGUGAAAGACAAGCAGCCGGAGAACAAGGAGGCUGUGGUUUGCUGCAAAUGAGGAUUCCACGGUUGGUAGAGGAGAUGGAACGUGCGGCCACCACCUGGAGACAAUCCAUGAUACAUAAAACAAAAACAAUAAGAGCAUACCAAACAUCUUCUUAUGAGCCUGAAAUGCCUCCUACCCCAGUAGUAUGAUGCCGGAGCUGAGCUGUUUAAUUCUAUUAACUUCAAGAUAGUUUAAUUCUAUUAGGUAGUUUGUAUGGCUAUAUAAAUAUAGUGUUCUUUAUGGUGGCAUGUAGCCUUUUAUGUUGCUACAUGUCUAUAAAUACUUGUAGCCAAUGCUUGUAAUGAGAGAUUGGAAGAUGAAUAAUAUUUGAGUUCUUUUACUCAAUUGUUUUAGGUUUCUGUAUCCUGAAGGAUUUCAGGUGGUCAUCCCUUUGGGAGGGGAGAUCUUGGGUUAUGCGUGGCCUGCCAGUUCAUGUAGCUCACGUUUCCUUGUCCGUCAACGCAUCACCGCCUCUGCGGCGUCAGAUUGGUUCUGAUUUUUAAAAGUUUUAUGCUUUAUUUUUAUGAAGAAUUCUGUAAUGGGGCUUGGUUUAAUUUCAUCUGGCACAAAAAUUAACUAUAAGAUAGCCAUCUUUUGCUUGGUUAGCGACUAUGGAAGGUCUUAAAGCCUCUGAUAUUUUGAUCAAAUGUAAUGUUAAUGUACCCCAUUGCAUUCUCAGUAA